AGUGAACGCUGGCGGUAGGCCUAACACAUGCAAGUCGAACGGCAGCACAGUAAGAGCUUGCUCUUACGGGUGGCGAGUGGCGGACGGGUGAGGAAUACAUCGGAAUCUACUUUUUCGUGGGGGAUAACGUAGGGAAACUUACGCUAAUACCGCAUACGACCUACGGGUGAAAGCAGGGGAUCUUCGUACCUUGCGCGAAUGAAUGAGUCGAUGUCGGAUUAGCUAGUUGGCGGGGUAAAGGCCAACCAAGGCGACGAUCCGUAGCUGGUCUGCGAGGAUGAUCAGCCACACUGGAACUGAGACACGGUCCAGACUCCUACGGGAGGCAGCAGUGGGGAAUAUUGGACAAUGGGCGCAAGCCUGAUCCAGCCAUACCGCGUGGGUGAAGAAGGCCUUCGGGUUGUAAAGCCCUUUUGUUGGGAAAGAAAAGCAGCAGGUUAAUACCCCGCUGUUCUGACGGUACCCAAAGAAUAAGCACCGGCUAACUUCGUA
rnacentral:rRNA from 1 species